rnacentral:rRNA from 1 species
UGCUGAUUUGCUGACGAGUGGCGGACGGGUGAGUAAUGUCUGGGAAACUGCCUGAUGGAGGGGGAUAACUACUGGAAACGGUAGCUAAUACCGCAUAACGUCGCAAGACCAAAGAGGGGGACCUUCGGGCCUCUUGCCAUCGGAUGUGCCCAGAUGGGAUUAGCUAGUAGGUGGGGUAACGGCUCACCUAGGCGACGAUCCCUAGCUGGUCUGAGAGGAUGACCAGCCACACUGGAACUGAGACACGGUCCAGACUCCUACGGGAGGCAGCAGUGGGGAAUAUUGCACAAUGGGCGCAAGCCUGAUGCAGCCAUGCCGCGUGUAUGAAGAAGGCCUUCGGGUUGUAAAGUACUUUCAGCGGGGAGGAAGGGAGUAAAGUUAAUACCUUUGCUCAUUGACGUUACCCGCAGAAGAAGCACCGGCUAACUCCGUGCCAGCAGCCGCGGUAAUACGGAGGGUGCAAGCGUUAAUCGGAAUUACUGGGCGUAAAGCGCACGCAGGCGGUUUGUUAAGUCAGAUGUGAAAUCCCCGGGCUCAACCUGGGAACUGCAU